AAAAAGACUGCAGGCAAAAUCUUGGUGUUCUCUGUGCUCUCUCCCUUCGAUUCAUCGCAAUUCGCAAUAGGAAAUAUAUUGUUCAUAUGGUAAGCAGCAUGGACAAGAGUGAUGAUUCUGGAAGCCUUCCCUGGCCAGGAUGCAUCCUUUUUCAAACAAGCAACUGAAGAUGUUGCCAAAGCUGUUGCUACUGUAGCUUUAGCUGCAGCUAUUCGUUCACCACGACUAUCUGUAGUUUUUUCUUCCACAGAUGAAUAUAGCAGUCAACUUGAGAAACAGCAACAUCAUGUUACAAGAGUAUUAGAGGGUCUUUCACCUUCACCCUGAGUGAAAAGAGGAGAUUAUAAUCCAGAAAUACUAACCAGCCAAAAACUCCAAUGGGCAAGGUUUCAGUUGCAGUUCUUGGUCUGUCAAAGAACCAUCAAGGCUAUUUGAGAACCAUGAGGCACUUCAAUGUCAAAUACUGAAGGGAAAAAAAGGACCAAUGAAGUCAAGAAGAAUACUAAAUUAUCAACAAGUGCAAGUUGGACGGAAUCUUCAACUGCAGGUAUUGCCACCUCUGAAGAGAGUUUUAUUGAUUCAUUCCCAAGUCAUGCCAGUCCUAUUAUUAAGCUCUUUGUGGCACUCAGCUCUUCUCUGUGCAUACUGACCUUGUUAUCUCUUUCUAUCAAUAAGAUUAGUGCUGCCGUGGGAGGCUCUGGUGGAUCAAGGGAAGCACCCUGUAUUUUAUUAAGGAGAAGUUUAAAAUGGAUAUCCAAGGAUGGAUAUUUACAAGAGUGUGGCUACGUUGGCUGAGAUCAAGAGGACUUCAGCUAGUAGUUAGAAAUACACCAGCUUUUCCCUGCUAUCAGACAGUCGCCGGCUGUUGGUGUUUCCUUCUUCAUCACAUUUGUCCUCCAAGAGGUCUAUAAAAUUUCCAACUCUUUUGGGGGCUGAGGGGCCAAGAUAGAUUAGAUGAUAUCUGUUGCCAGAUUAGUUUGGAGAAGGCGCAUGUCAAGAAGAGGUGAUCGGUCUUCUCCUCUUCUUUCUCCACAUAGGAUGCAGAAUUCUAUAGUCCUCCAUUUCCUUCAUAUUUUCGGCAGUUAAAAUCUUGUUGUUGUAUAAUAACCAGUUAAAAACCUUUACCUUUUCCGGAAGUGGCAUCUUCCAAUUCACUGUUGCGAAGCUUGAAGUGAUCCCUCCAUGGCUGUAAAUUUUGUAGUAGUUGCUGAUAGAGAAUUUCCUGGGGUUUCCCCAUUAGCAUUAUAUUUUAUCUUCCUUGUCAUUUAUAUGACAGUUCAUUUAGGAGCCUGGAUAUGAUUUGGAGUUCCUCGAAACCUCUCUGAUUUGGUGUCAUAGUAAGAUCUAGUUCCAUCACUGAUGAUCUGAAAAUUUGUGCCAUCGGGUUUUUGCUGAUAUGGCGAAAAGAGCUGGGAAAGACUUCUUUUAGAAGUUUCUCUGUAAGCCAUCUAUCAUGCCAAAAAGCUACUAGACUUCGUUCUGACUUGGAAAUUUAUACUGCUAAAGAACCAUUUCUGAACUGAGAUAAUGUUCUUCCAGGUUGGGAAGGCUUUUCCCAAAAGCUGUUGAGGCUGUUGGCUUGGUGUUGCAUCUGAGAAGUCGGACUUAAGAAUCAAAGUUCUGCAUGGUCUCUGCGGUUCCAUGUAGAGUCUCCACCACCAUUUCAUAAGCAGGCAUCUAUUAAAUAAUUUUAGAUCAAUUACACCCAGACUUCCUAGUUGUUUUGGUCUGUAGAUUUUUGACCAGCUAACUAAACAAUGGCCUCCUACGCAUGUAAGUAUUCCUUUCAAUUAUUCGAAUAACUUUGUUUGGGAGCAUCAUAGAAGGCAUCCAAUAGGUGGGGAUGGCACCUAGGACGGCAUUUACAAGGGCCAAUCUUCCGGCCAUGGUCAGUAGCUUUCCUCUCCACCUCGCUAACUUCCUUUCAAAUUUUUUCGUCUAAAAAUUUCCAAUCUCUUUCUUUUGGUCUCUUAUAAUGGAGUGAAUAUCCUAAAUAAGAUAAUGGCAAACUCCCCCUGCUGCAGCUCAUCAAGCUUGCAAACCAAUUGCUUGUUUUUUUAUCUAAUCCAAUCCCAACCAUUGAGCUCUUUCAGAAGUUAAUUCUCAGGCCAGUCAGUAGCUCAAAUGAGUAUAAUAAGAACUUGAGGUUUGAUGCAUGUUUUCUGUUGGCGUGACAUAGAAUCAAUGUAUCAUCAGCAAACUGUUGUGCAAGACUCAGCAAGAGUAUGUAUCACCUGUGUUUCCUUUGGCUCCGAUUCCUUUAAUCUAACAGUCAAUGUAUCAUCAGCAAGCUGUUGUGCAAGAGUAUGUAUCACCUGUGUUUCCUUUGGCUCCGAUUCCUUUUAUCAAUCUGCUUGAUUCGGCCCCU